rnacentral:rRNA from 1 species
GAGUUUGAUCGUGGCUCAGGACAAACGCUGGCGGGGUGCAUGAGACAUGCAAGUCGAACGGGGUUGAGCGGGCUUGCUCGAUCAACCUAGUGGCGGACGGCUGAGUAACGCGUAGGUGACCUACCCGGAAGUGGGGAAUAACUGCCCGAAAGGGUGGCUAAUACCGCAUGUGGUCGGCGAUUCGGUUCGCCGUGCAAAGCCGCAAGGCGCUUCCGGAGGGGCCUGCGUCCGAUUAGCUAGUUGGUGGGGUAAUGGCUCACCAAGGCGACGAUCGGUAGCUGGUCUGAGAGGAUGAUCAGCCAGACUGGGACUGAGAACGGCCCAGACUCCUACGGGAGGCAGCAGUCGGGAAUUUUGCCCAAUGGACGAAAGUCUGAGGCAGCAACUCCGCGUGAGGGACGAAGGCCUUCGGUCGGUAAACCUACUUUCUUCAGGGAAGAUACAAGACGGUACCU